rnacentral:rRNA from 1 species
CAGCAGCCGCGGGAAUACGAAGGGUGCAAGCGUUAAUCGGAAUUACUGGGCGUAAAGCGUGCGUAGGCGGUGAGUUAAGUCUGCUGUGAAAUCCCAGGGCUCAACCUGGGAACUGCGCUUGUGACUGCACAGCUAGAAUAUGGCAGAGGGGGGUGGAAUUCCACGUGUAGCAGUGAAAUGCGUAGAGAUGUGGAGGAACACCGAUGGCGAAGGCAGCCCCCUGGGCCAAUACUGACGCUCAUGCACGAAAGCGUGGGGAGCAAACAGGAUUAGAUACCCGUGUAGUCCCUGUCUCUUAUAC